rnacentral:rRNA from 1 species
AUUGAACGCUGGCGGCGUGCUUAACACAUGCAAGUCGAUCGGUAACAGGUGUAGCAAUACAUGCUGACGAGAGGCGGACGGGUGAGUAAUGCUUGGGAAUCUGCCUAUUAGUGGGGGACAACCCGGGGAAACUCGGGCUAAUACCGCAUACGCUCUACGGAGGAAAGCCGGGGACCGCAAGGCCUGGCGCUAAUAGAUGAGCCCAAGUCGGAUUAGCUAGUUGGUAGGGUA